UUAAUUGCUUAUUAUAUGAAUAAAAAAAAAAUAGUUUGAAUACAUAACUGAAUUUAUUUUUCAAGAACCAAAAAACAAAGGUCAGAUUUCACAAAAUUUACUCUUGUGAAUAUAUAAUUUAGCAAAAGCAUCAUUGUCUUUUAUUUGCGGGAAUAUUAGUAAAACCAAAUAAAACAUUCUCCAAGCACAAAGAAAAGUGGACUCAAUAUCAUUUAUUAUAAAUCUUAAUAAAUCUUAUCAGAGUUUCCUUAAUGCCAAAAUAAAUGAAAUAAAGUUUCAGUCAUUAUAUUCAUUAUACAGUUCAACCCAAUAUCCUUUUUUAAUUUAACAAAAAAUAUAUAUAAUCUGUGUAAUAUUUUAAAGGUUACGUCCUUCACUUUGUUUGCCAAUAAAUAUUUGUUUGGUAAAGUCCAGAUGGCCUUCCAUAACAAACCAUUCAAUAUUCCAGUGAACUAUACUCAGGGCCAGACCAAGCCUUAUGGGGCCCUAAGCAGAAUUUUAUUUGGGGGCUUCUUGUUGUCGCCAAUACGACUGAUUAUUGUCAAUGCUUGAUUAUUCACACACUAUAAGUCUAACACACCACUUAUCAGUUUUAUUUCUUGUAUCUGUGUUGCUUUCAUCAUACCAUUGUGUGCCUGUCAUGUCUUUACCCUUAUACGAUUUUUAACUGUAACAGUAGCAAACCCAGAAGAGUGAUCAGGUGUUAAUUUGUACAUUAUCAUUCAAAGUCUUACAGUACUAAGUAGCAUACUUAAUGCGGUGUACUGAAAAGUAGCUAAAUAAACCAGCAAACAAUGCAUUAAUAGAACAGAAUGUUAUUUUAACAACAUAACAUCAUAAAUUAUUAAACAUAGUAGCAGGCCAUCAGUACACCUAAAACAACAACUCUUAAUCUACAGUAUAAAUAGCUAACUGAGGCAUAAUGAUAUUGGAAUAUAGCAAAGACCCCAAAGGCAGGCUAUGGUAAAGUUAAGGUGCUAUCAGCACCAAGUUUAUGAAACAGAAGCUUAUUUUUAUUACAACAAAUUAGAAUAAAAUGAGUGUAAUAAAACAGGAAGUUUCGCUCCAUUCCCACGCACUCGUCACAAAUGUGUUUUGUUUCUCCAAGGAAAAAUUCAACAAAGUGGUAUCAACAGCUUUACACAUCUCAUUAGAAACACUGAGUGAAGUGCAGCAUAAACUAAUCUCGACAGACCCUCAGAUUUACAUAGCAAAACUCUUCCUUUUAGGGACAAAUAUCAUUCAAAAGAUUAAACUUUGCCUUGGUUUUCUGAAGAAUGGGAUCAAAAUUUAACUUGCACCUAGAUUUUUGACCUUUUUGCCAAUGAUUCCCUCACUGGGAUCUAUAUAUGUUAACUGACUGUCUUCUGUGGACAAAAAUUCACAUUUGCUAAUGUUUAAACCAAGGAUGCAUCUGUUUGUUUAAGAGCUUGGACCCGAUGGUCAUCUUUCGAGAACAGCACUGUAUCAUCUGCUAACUGAGAUAUGUACAUCUGUUCUUGUUCUAGAAGCCGUUUCACUCAGAUAAACAUCACAAUAGUGGAGAAAAGACAACCACAAUUUCUGUUUCACACCGACUUUAAAGCCGCAGUCCGUAAACUGCUCUAGCAGUUUAUAAACAGAACUGCGUGCGUCUUGCGGAAGAACAUUGUAGCCGGAGCUACUUCUCUCUGUUUAUGUCAAUGGCGAAUCACCCAGGUACCGGGCUACUCUGCAGCAGUGCCUACCCACCCGAACCAUUCUAAACACAUAUUUUAGGUGUACCGUAGUGAUUCAGGACAAGCCAAAAACACCGUCUGGAAAAUGGAUUCAUGGUUUACUCAAAAAGGUUAUGGACUGCAGCUUUAAGUUAAUACUUUAUCAUUCAAGACACCUAUAGCUUCAGGGGCCGAAAUUCUCAGCUGAUUUUUUUAAAGUUAAGUUAACUUUUAAAAUGUACAAUAUGUCGUCUUUUGUUUCAGUGGUUUAUUUGUCUGUCCACUUCAUCCAGCACAGUUUGUUCUCGGUUCUUGAUUGUUUGUCUGACUGAGAAACCGCUUCAGAUGAUUCAGCAUAAGCGGUGAACUAACUCCAGGGUAUAAGGCUAAAAGGAACCUAAUGUUUGUGCAAUCUAUUAACUACGCACAUCAUAAACACAUCUUUUUAAACAAUACCAGAUAUGGGUGUCCUCCUGUCAUAAAAUAUUUAUACAACUGAAUUCAUAUUGGACGUGAUCACAGUUUAUACAUUGUAAGUUAGGGCCUACUAAUUAUUUCAUUAUUUUGUUUAAAUUCCAUGGUUGUUAAAAUGCGUAAAAAGAAACGUGAUCCGAUACGAUCGAUCUAAAUGUAAUGCCGCAAUCAACACUUUUCAUUUUCACUUUAUUUGCGACAGCUGUAAUAGAUUUAGUUGGUAACUCUUUACAAUAAGGUGCCAUUUGUUAACAUUAAUGUAUUAACUAACAUGAACUAA
ensembl:lncRNA